GACAGAGGGUGCAAACGUUGCUCGGAAUCACUGGGCGUAAAGGGCGUGUAGGCGGGAGGGAAAGUCAGAUGUGAAAUCCCCAGGCUCAACCUGGGAACUGCAUUUGAAACUCCCUUCUUGAGUAUCGGAGAGGAAAGCGGAAUUCCUGGUGUAGAGGUGGAAUUCGUAGAUAUUAGGAAGAACACCAGUGGCGAAGGCGGCUCACUGGUCCGGUACUGACGCUGAGGUGCGAAAGCGUGGGGAGCAAACAGG
rnacentral:rRNA from 1 species